AUGAUCUUGCCAAGAAGCUGUUCCUUAUGCUUGAAGGUAAACCUUUAUGCUCAACAAUCAUUUUCAACUGUGAUUUUUCCAUUCGACCGUUGCCUUGACUCAGUGAUCGCCCUUGCAGAAUUUUGUCAAGACUUUGAAGAAGAGACUAGCCAGCUGGAACCAAACCUUGACCCCGUCAAUUCUCCGGUGGACGACGAAGUUGCCAUGAAUGUUUUCCGACUGGAGUCCCGUGUCGCAGCUGUCGUGGACUAUCUCGCAAGGCUGAAGGUCGCCACAUCUCGCAUCGACUCAACGCUCUGGCCCGGGGAGACACUCCAGCACGACCUCGAGUCGCUGAUGGCUCGCUUGAACACAGUCCCUGGUCGAGUGCAGGAGUGGAAAAAGUCCUUGGCUCGGUGCGGUGCAGAUGUUGCUCUGUGUCUGGCCCGAGUCCACUGCAAAGAUGCGCGAGAAGACAAGCUGGCGGCCCUCCGGGUGGCCAACACCAAGAAACACGACUUCCGGUCCUUUAUGGAAACUUUCAUUGCUGCUGCCACUCGGAUCGCAGAUGGAAUUGAUCUUGAUGAGUUUGUUGCACCUUCCAGCCCUCCACAGGAGGGGUAA
rnacentral:rRNA from 1 species